rnacentral:RNase_P_RNA from 1 species
UCCGGAGGAAGCUCACCGUCGAGGCCACGCACUGGGUGCCCAUCACCCGCUGUCCCCGCCUCGGGGAAGGUCUGAGGGAAGGGCCCGCAGCGGCUCCAGCAGAGCCCCGCCCGCACGGGUGGGUGAGCCACCAGCAAGGGGGGGCGCCGCGCGGGCCGGCCUGGGCAGGAGAAGCCCGGAACGGUUCGGAGCUCAGUGCUGAGCCGGGGCGGAUGCUCGUGGCCCCGCGGAGCUUUGAGACAGACUCACGGCCGGCGCAUUGAGUCCAAUGGGUGAGGUGGGGCAAUGCCGCACAACCUAAUUCAGACUACUCUCCGCCGGA